CCGUACGUAGCGCAGAGGCAGGCGCGCCGUCAUGGCAUGACGGAGGACGCCGGUUCGAAUCCGGCCGUACGGG
rnacentral:tRNA from 1 species